UACGUAGGGCGCAAGCGUUGUCCGGAAUUAUUGGGCGUAAAGAGCUCGUAGGCGGUCUGUCGCGUCGGAUGUGAAAGCCCGGGGCUUAACCCCGGGUCUGCAUUCGAUACGGGCAGACUAGAGUGUGGUAGGGGAGAUCGGAAUUCCAGGUGUAGCGGUGAAAUGCGUAGAUAUCUGGAGGAACACCGGUGGCGAAGGCGGCAUCCUGGACCGGUAUUGACGCUGAGGCGCGAAAGCUAGGGGAGCAAACGGG
rnacentral:rRNA from 1 species